rnacentral:lncRNA from 1 species
CUGACAGUGUGGCAUUUAGUAUAUGAUAAGUAGUCUUCCAUUUAAACCAAAUUUUGUGUACUAACAUAAUCAUUGUAAUGGUGAAAAAUAUAAGAAAUUAAAAAUGUUUCACUUUGUAGUUUAAACCUAUGUAUUCAUGAAAUUUACUAAUAUAUCAAAAUGUAGGAUCUGGAAACAAGCUUCACACAGCUUAAUUAUAUCAAUCAUAUUGCUUUUUAUAAGUACAUGUAUCCCUGUGAUGAGAGUUGUAACUGGAACUUUAUCAAUGGAAAUUUAAAACUGAAUAGAUUUUUCAGUCCUCACUUUCUUGAGAAAAAAGAUUAAAAAUCUUAAAGUACUGUCA